GAGUGAAAAUAUACCAGCACUAAUGCACCAGGUCCAAACAGAACUCUCCAAAUAAACGUGCCUAGGCGAGAGUAGUACUAGGAUGGGUGACCUCUUGAGAAGUCCUCGUGUUGCACCCC
rnacentral:rRNA from 1 species